CCGCACGUGCAGCCACGGACCCGUAUAAUGCCGGGAAUAGGCCCGGCAGUCUCUACCGGGCGACCGGAAAUCGCCCGACUACGGGGGAGUGCGGAUUGGAA
rnacentral:ncRNA from 2 species